UAUCACUAUUCUGUUUUUCGCC
rnacentral:miRNA from 4 species